rnacentral:rRNA from 1 species
GACGAACGCUGGCGGCGUGCUUAACACAUGCAAGUCGAACGUGAUUUUUGUGGAAAUUCUUUCGGGAAUGGAAAUGAAAUGAAAGUGGCGAACGGGUGAGUAACACGUGAGCAACCUACCUUACACAGGGGGAUAGCCGUUGGAAACGACGAUUAAUACCGCAUGAGACCACAGAAUCGCAUGAUAUAGGGGUCAAAGAUUUAUCGGUGUAAGAAGGGCUCGCGUCUGAUUAGCUAGUUGGAAGGGUAAAGGCCUACCAAGGCGACGAUCAGUAGCCGGUCUGAGAGGAUGAACGGCCACAUUGGAACUGAGACACGGUCCAAACUCCUACGGGAGGCAGCAGUGGGGAAUAUUGCACAAUGGGGGGAACCCUGAUGCAGCAACGCCGCGUGAGUGAAGAAGGCAUUCGUGUCGUAAAACUCUGUAGUAGGGGAAGAAAGAAAUGACAGUACCCUAAAAGAAAGCCCCGGCUAACUACGUGCCAGCAGCCGCGGUAAUACGUAGGGGGCAAGCGUUAUCCGGAAUAACUGGGCGUAAAGGGUGCGCAGGUGGUUUAACAAGUUAGUGGUGAAAGGCAUAGGCUCAACCAAUGUAAGCCAUUAAAACUGUUUAACUUGAGUGCAGGAGAGGAAAGUGGAAUUCCUAGUGUAGCGGUGAAAUGCGUAGAUAUUAGGAGGAAUACCAGUGGCGAAGGCGACUUUCUGGACUGCAACUGACACUGAGGCACGAAAGCGUGGGGAGCAAACAGG